AUUGAUAGAAGAAAGGUCGUAAACGAGUCGCGUCAUUACCGUACGAUGUGUGUGGCUGUUGUAGUUUUAAUCGACAUGAACAGGUGAAGGAUAAGGUCGUUGAUCGAAAAGUUGAGGUCGAAAGACUGAAACGGCUCAAUUGUGACCGGUUAUUCAGAUCCGCUUCGCUCUAGCUUUCCAAGACUUCCCAGACUUCAAUUGUGAUAUGUCGUAUCAGACGUUCCUUUCACUCGAAUUUCAGUAAGCCGUACCGAUUUGACAAGACGAAUGCGACAACGUAGACGAUUAUGAUCUGAAAGAAUGACCGAAGAAAACGCCUCCUUGUGUUUUACUGGAAUAAUUUUGUAGUCGUUUCUCGAUCCUUCGUGUGGGCGGCUGAUAGGUAGAAAAUGUUCUACGACGGAAAGAUGAUGACGACGAUAAUCCAAACGACUCGAAUAGCACAAACCGCGGCUCGGAAAGGAAGACUGUUGUGGAUCGACUGUCGUGUAAGGAGGGGAUAUUAUUUUCGACAGACUGGCUGGUAUUGGCUGGUAUUAGCAGUUGGAGUUUGCUUGGUUGCACGACAAGGACAAGCUGCGAUCGUAAUCAGAACUGUGAAGUCGAAAAUACCUUCAUGCAACAACACACCAGACAAAGCAAGACCAAUGGGAGUAAUUGAGCGGUAUAAUCAGGAGAACAGACAAAAAGCCUUGUCUAGAAUUUCCGGGAACAAGAAUUAAUUAAAUUACAAUAAGGCCUAUGCCCAAUGGAAAGGGGAGACAAUAGCCGAGCGCGGGUGGAGAUGAGGAGAGAAAGAAAAUGGAUGGAUGAGAGCGAGGAUGGAGGCGACGAUAGAGAGGAGAACGGAAAAUGGAAGGUGGUGAGGCGACGCGGUUGUCGGAAGGUAAGAGGUAAGUUACGAGAGGAAGGAGCGACAGACGAUGUGCCUGCGUUCUUUCCCUAAGAUGUGGCAGCCAGCACAGGCAAACUGUGGUGAUAAUCGACUCUGGCAGUUUCCCCUUUAGUUUUCUUAGUUUUCUUAGUUGCCUUGAUUAAUGACUUAAGUCUCGAGAAGUACAAAACUCUACGGAGUACAUAACUUGCUGCUUUUGCGGCAAGCUUGUCGAGGAAAUCCGACCACGCAGGUGAGCCGUUUGUCCGUUUUUCUUCCAUUCUGCUCGCUCGCUGGGCUGGCCACCGCUGCACAACACUCUGUCGGUCAAGCCGUCAAGGACCCAAAAAACGAUCAUCAUGGCCGGCAUCUCCACAGACGCCGCGCUGACUGGCUGACGGGCUUGCUGCUGGGGCACUGGGCGCUGGGCUCAGACACGUGAAGCGAUUGCUUUCUACUCCGUAGCAUGAUGCAUACUUUAUGAAUGACAAACGAGGGGAUGGGAGAGGCAUGGUCUUUACAAACAGAUCAGUCCAUACGAUAGAAAUCGACGCGAGCAACAGUGAAACCUACGAUGGUCACUCGUGUUUCAGCAACGAGUAGACUCCAAAAAGGGCUCAUGCUUAUGUCAUGCGAAAUCCUCUGGGUCGGUAGUCUAGCCGUGUGGGCUGGGCUGCCAAGCCGCUACAAAGUCUCGGAAGGUAUGCUCUCCAAGUCUAUGAUGCAGGAUAAAGAACUCUUUCCAUGGGAAUAAGCCGCGGGAGAAAAGGGAAAGAAGCAGAAAAGAAAAAGAAAGAGAGAAAGGAUGGAAAGAGGCAAGACACCAUGCACCAUGCAUCUAGCAUGUGGUAGUGGUACCAGGUGUAGAAGCUGCUUGGAAGCAGUGACUCGGACAGCAAAAGUCAACCGCACCCCCAAUUUCUAGCCAAUUUCAGGCGAGGGCUGAUCACUCGUGGUUUGCAUCACGUGGCAACCCGGCCUCUUCGUCUCGACUUAGAGAUUCAGAGUCCUUGCUGCGGCCAAUCGACAACCAUGAUUCGCAAAUAAAGCAUAUGGCUGCCAUAUGGCGUGGCGAUUCAGGCCGCAGCGUAUCGACUUGUCUUGUCUCAAGCAUCUUCAAUAUGUCGAUUUGAUUCGAUCGCUAAGAAUCUGAGACCAUAUCGAUAUAAGCAUUAACCCUAUGUAUUAUAGCCAGAUGAAGCUUUGAUUUUCGUUAACAUUGAACCGAUAAGUUACACACGGAGUCCUAGUCAUCUAUUAACCCCAGAGGCUAACGCUGCCCCCUUGGGCCCUUUGAGUCCUUCGUCUUCACAGCGAAGCAAGCGGUAUCCACCCCAUUUCUGGAGUCUGUUUCAGACUUGCCAGAUUAAUGAAGAGUCAAAUCUGAAUCCCUUGUCGGGGGCUCGAGAUAGCCCUAUAUCACUACGGAGUGAAUAAGAUAAACAACCUCCUGAUCACCCUGUCAAAUACUCGGCAUUGCCGCAAAUCAUUAUUCUUUGGUGGAACAAGUGCUUGUAUGUACCCAUCUUACAUCAUGGUACACUAGCACCAAAAGGUAGCUUUUGUCCGUGACUCCGUCCAUAAGCAGCGAACAGGGGGUGUUUUCCGUCAAUUCGACCGAUGAUCCCGUUAGACAAGUGGGGGGACACGACUGCGAAUUUCGGCGGUGGUCCGAGAUACAUACUUCCAGUGUUCAACAACAUCAAGUCGAAUGAAUAUUUGAUUGCAACUGUGCAUUCAAGAUGCAUUAAAAUACAUUUCCCUUUGUCUGCGCCAUAGUCUUCGCAUUGAGAUUUCUCGUGAUGCCCACCCAAACAAAACCCAGAACCAUAAAUGCCGUACCGGCAGCAAGCAUUCUCCUGUGUGCAUACCCAUAAGCCUGCACGAUAGCGUCGCGCGUUGGCCUGGCCACCGGAUAGCUCAACUGUUCUGGGAGGCCUUCAUGGAUGAGAUAUAAAUUAUCCAUCGACGAUUCUGGUGGUGAUUUCUCGAGCUGUGGUAGGAAAGUAUUCGUCCAAAUAGUGCCGGAAAGAGCGCUUCCAACGGGCAUCGCCCAUACUCCACCCCAUGACGAACAGCAGCGACAGGACUGCGGCAAUAUGUUGAUGGCCAAUGGCCGCCAGAACGGCCAGUUGCAUGCAGAGAAUGAAAACACUACCAGCAACUGAGAAGAAAAUCCCACACAUGAACAAUAUACCCAAUAUAACCCCCGGUUGACGGAAAUGGAUCAUUAGACCCAACCCAAGGAUAUACAGAGGCACGCAUACCCACACAAUCCACUUGAAUUGACCCGUGAUGCAAAUGAGCCAUCCAGCAAUGAAGAGAAAGACAAACGGGACGAUGCUGAAAGCAUUCUUCAUAUACCCGGCAGGAGCUACAUAAGUCUAGUACACCGCUUGCAGGAACGAAGUGAGGUAAAUCGCAUAGCAAUAGUAUGAGAUUUGGUAUGUCAUGUCGAGGAAACAUGCGCCCAUGGUCGUGCGGUCGAUGAGGAAUAAGUAGUUCAGGAAUGGCUGCGGGGCACGGUAAACUCCCCAGAGACCGAAGAUGAGCAGCAACCGACGAUGACCAUAACGAUGAUGUAGCCUGUCUGUCAGCCCUAGGGUGCUGUACUGGCUAGAGUGAAGGGGAGAAGGAAGCUGACAAAACUGCCGGCGAAGAUUAACUUAUUACUCCGAAGCCUAGAGUUGCAAAUUAGGAUCACAACGUCUCGGCUGAAAGAAUAGGAACUUACGGUCGAAUUCCGUGACCACCCACUAGAGCGAUUGCAAGUUGAACCUCCAUUUCUUCCUCUCUCUAACGAUAACCCCUUGUCUCUCAGCCUUGCGCAAAUUAAACACCAUCAUGAAAUGAAUCAGCCCCGCAAAAACCGGCAAAAUAAUCGUCCAAAUACCAUAUCACCAUCUGCAAUUAAACAUUCUCGAAAAAUUCCGCCGCAGCUUUUGAGCCCGCAAACGCUGGAAUAAAAGUGAGAGAUGACGUGAACGCAAAUGCCAAAUCUCGAUUUCGUAGCGGUUCGGUAGGGUAGAACAUACGGUACAAAACACCAUGAACAUGGAUCCCCUGCUCCAGGUAAGGGUGACAGCCUUGGUUUCCCUGACGUCUGAUUGAGCAUCGGCACUCGGCUUCAUAUCAGUUUUGUCAGGCAGUUCAUUCAUGGCAAUAUUCCCGACAUCUUUGUCGGCGGCUCUGAUUUGCAUGACACUCGGAUCGUCGACAGGGCUCGCGCUUUGUUGGGGCUUAUUGGCCAACGAUGUUGGACUGCACGAACAAGUAGUCGCUCGGAGCAGGAGGUGGAAGUAGGGUCCUUAUACGAGCAGGCCUCAAAUCAACACCAUACACCCAACAACAUUGUCGACAGAGAAUUACUGGCUAAAUAUUUAGCACGUGCAAUUAUCCGAUAUUUUAUAAUCACAACCCAUGAAUCCAUCCACACCUUGGCCAGGUCAUCCCAACAGAUAUAUUGAUAUAGUCAGGGUUAUGUGGAGACCGACAUGAUCAGAUAAGAUUAGCGGCAAUCUCUGAGCCCUACUAUUGGCCUAUCGAAAAUAUAGUUGGUCAACGGUAGGUACGCAACUUUCCUCUUGAAGUAUUUCUCGCCAGAUUCUCCCCUGCUGCACAGAAGCUAUCAAUGGGGAAUAUGUCCUGCUACUAGUCAUGUUAUUGUUACCAUAUGAUACUUGUAUUAUAUUGGUGGCAACCCCCUAAUAGCAAAAUAGCACAGAAUGAGGGAGAUCUCAUUCACUUCUUUAGAUGAAAGGGUAGCAUGAUACCAUCGCUUUGUGCCAACAAGGCUGAUCUUGUUAAUUCCAAGUGUAAGCAUCUGAGAGGAAGCUCCAUCGCCUAUCUUGGAAAUAGAUUCCUUGCCAAACGUGGUUGCAAGAACUUUGCAAUUCAUGAUUGAGUUUACCAUACGGAUGUAAAACUUACUAAGAAUCAAUUGGCACACCGGUUCAGUCACUCACGCCAAAAGGUAUAUUCGAGAAUCUAAACGUUUCAUAGACUCAGGAAUCGUUUAAUACUAUGAAAGUGAACCCAGCCAUAUAUACAGCGGCAUCAUUCUGUUCAAUACAUGGCUUGGUAGUAAGAUUUCCUUCUGGCCAAUGACUGAAAACCUUUUACCUUGGUGGCAACUCGAAGCGAACGAAAUAUUUCAGAGUGUUACUUCGAGAUUUACACUUGCACAGAUUUUCAGCGUACUAUUAGAACCGACAGAGUCCCAUGGCUCAACAGCAUCGAGGAUUUUUUGUCCACAGGACAGGGAGCUGCGCCUGAAGGCUUAUACAGCUGGGGUAUUUGCUCUCUCGCUGAGCUUGAUAGCCAGCUGCCGGAAGGUGUCCUUGUAAAACAGGGAAUAACAAAAAUAGAAACAUUCUUUCCAAGGAUUGGGAUGUGACAUCAGCCACAAGGUCUAGGUCAUGCCCCAUAUGCUGAAACUCCUUGGCGACUUUCGACCGCAUCAGUGGAAAUAUCAACUUACAGGAAAGCAGAGAUGCAAUGUGGUCAAAAAUGGUCCGCCUAUUAUAUUCUUUGGGCACAAGUCAUACUGGUUGACAUCACUAUCCGGCUCGUCGUCUCCGGUGACGGUGAAAAAAAAAAAUCAACGCACCCAAAAUGAAAGGUCCAGACGGAAAUUAUGAUGGGAAAUGGAAUAACCAAGCAAAUGCAAACAGUGCAGAAUUAUGGGAGCUGUGAGAAGUUCAUUUAUUCCAAGCAAUUAUUGCGGAGAGCUGGAGGUCGUAUGGAAGUGAUCAUGGCAAGAAUCCAUAGGACAUGGUGAAAUGGGAUUUGAUGCCAAAGAUUCUCAAGCAAUUCAGAGUCCAGCCGAGGAGAAUCUGACUCAAAGGUAUGAGAGGCUUUCUGCCCUCUUAAAUAUUCGAGCAUUGUCUGUCAUGGCUCUUCUCAUGCUGGAUCCUGAUACGUCGGACGUCUACCUGACCCAAGACGCAUUCACAUACUGAUGGUAUAGUUUGUUGAAAUGAACCUUUGUCGAACUGCCAGUAGUUUCUUCCAAUCCAUAAAGAGCUCGG
rnacentral:lncRNA from 1 species